rnacentral:rRNA from 1 species
GGAGUCUAGCAUGUGCGCGAGUCAUUGGGACUAGCGAAACCUAAAGGCGAAAUGAAAGUGAAGAUCGGCCUUGCGCCGAUCGAGGGAGGAUGGGCCGCGCCACGUCGCGGCCCCGCACUCCCGGGGCGUCUCGUUCUCAUCGCGAGAAGAGGCGCACCCAGAGCGUACACGCUGGGACCCGAAAGAUGGUGAACUAUGCCUGGUCAGGACGAAGUCAGGGGAAACCCUGAUGGAGGUCCGAAGCGAUUCUGACGUGCAAAUCGAUCGUCGGAACUGGGUAUAGGGGCGAAAGACUAAUCGAACCAUCUAGUAGCUGGUUCCCUCCGAAGUUUCCCUCAGGAUAGCUGGCGCUCGCUUUUGCGAGUCUCAUCUGGUAAAGCGAAUGAUUAGAGGCAUUGGGGUCGAAACGGCCUCAACCUAUUCUCAAACUUUAAAUGGGUGAGAUCUCCGGCUUGCUUGAAAAUUGAAGCCGCGAGAUCGGAUCAGAGUGCCAAGUGGGCCAUUUUUGGUAAGCAGAACUGGCGCUGUGGGAUGAACCAAACGCAGAGUUAAAGCUCCUAAAUCGACGCUUAUGGGAUACCAUGAAAGGCGUUGGUAACUUAAGACAGCAGGACGGUGGCCAUGGAA